AGAGUUUGAUCCUGGCUCAGGAUGAACGCUGGCGGCGCGCCUAACACAUGCAAGUCGAACGGUUAAGACCCCUUAGGGGGUGCAUAAAGUGGCGAACGGCUGAGUAACACGUGGAGAACCUGCCCCCUCCCCCGGGAUAGCCGCCCGAAAGGACGGGUAAUACCGGAUACCCCCGGGCGCCGCAUGGCGCCCGGGCUAAAGCCCCGACGGGAGGGGAUGGCUCCGCGGCCCAUCAGGUAGACGGCGGGGUGACGGCCCACCGUGCCGACAACGGGUAGCCGGGUUGAGAGACCGACCGGCCAGAUUGGGACUGAGACACGGCCCAGACUCCUACGGGAGGCAGCAGUGGGGAAUCUUGCGCAAUGGGCGGAAGCCUGACGCAGCGACGCCGCGUGCGGGAGGAAGGCUCUCGGGUCGUAAACCGCUUUCAGCAGGGACGAGGCCGAGAGGUGACGGUACCUGCAGAAGAAGCCCCGGCUAACUACGUGCCAGCAGCCGCGGUAAUACGUAGGGGGCGAGCGUUAUCCGGAUUCAUUGGGCGUAAAGCGCUCGUAGGCGGCCCGUCUGGUCGGGAGUCAAAGCCCGGGGCUCAACCCCGGCCCGCUCCCGAUACCGGCGGGCUUGAGUCGCGCAGGGGAGGCCGGAAUUCCGAGUGUAGCGGUGGAAUGCGCAGAUAUUCGGAAGAACACCGGUGGCGAAGGCGGACCUCUGGGCGCGCACUGACGCUGAGGAGCGAAAGCUGGGGGAGCGAACAGGAUUAGAUACCCUGGUAGUCCCAGCCGUAAACGAUGGGCACUAGGUGUGGGGGGACACUCCCUCCGUGCCGAAGCUAACGCAUUAAGUGCCCCGCCUGGGGAGUACGGCCGCAAGGCUAAAACUCAAAGGAAUUGACGGGGGCCCGCACAAGCAGCGGAGCAUGUGGCUUAAUUCGAAGCAACGCGAAGAACCUUACCAGCGCUUGACAUCACCGUGAAGCGGCGGAGACGCCGUGGCCGAGAGGAGCGGUGACAGGUGGUGCAUGGCUGUCGUCAGCUCGUGUCGUGAGAUGUUGGGUUAAGUCCCGCAACGAGCGCAACCCCCGUCGCAUGUUGCCAGCGGUCCGGCCGGGCACCCAUGCGAGACCGCCGGCGUCAAGCCGGAGGAGGGUGGGGACGACGUCAAGUCAUCAUGCCCCUUAUGCGCUGGGCUGCACACGUGCUACAAUGGCCGGCACAAUGGGCUGCCACCGCGCGAGCGGGAGCGAAUCCCCAAAGCCGGCCCCAGUUCGGAUCGGAGGCUGCAACCCGCCUCCGUGAAGUCGGAGUUGCUAGUAAUCGCGGAUCAGCACGCCGCGGUGAAUACGUUCCCGGGCCUUGCACACACCGCCCGUCA
rnacentral:rRNA from 1 species